rnacentral:rRNA from 1 species
UACGAAGGGUGCAAGCGUUAUUCGGAAUUACUGGGCGUAAAGGGCGCGUAGGCGGUUCGUUAAGUCUGUUGUGAAAUCCCCGGGCUCAACCUGGGAAUGGCAAUGGAUACUGGCUAGCUAGAGUGUGUCAGAGGAUGGUGGAAUUCCCGGUGUAGCGGUGAAAUGCGUAGAGAUCGGGAGGAACAUCAGUGGCGAAGGCGGCCAUCUGGGACAACACUGACGCUGAGGCACGAAAGCGUGGGGAGCAAACAGG